rnacentral:rRNA from 1 species
UACGAAGGGGGCUAGCGUUGCUCGGAAUUACUGGGCGUAAAGCGCACGUAGGCGGCUCUUUAAGUCAGGGGUGAAAUCCUGGAGCUCAACUCCAGAACUGCCUUUGAUACUGAAGAUCUUGAGUUCGGGAGAGGUGAGUGGAACUGCGAGUGUAGAGGUGAAAUUCGUAGAUAUUCGCAAGAACACCAGUGGCGAAGGCGGCUCACUGGCCCGAUACUGACGCUGAGGCACGAAAGCGUGGGGAGCAAACAGGG